rnacentral:rRNA from 1 species
GGGCGGUACCUUGACGGUACCUAACCAGAAAGCCACGGCUAACUACGUGCCAGCAGCCGCGGUAAUACGUAGGUGGCAAGCGUUGUCCGGAAUUAUUGGGCGUAAAGCGCGCGCAGGCGGUUUCUUAAGUCUGAUGUGAAAGCCCCCGGCUCAACCGGGGAGGGUCAUUGGAAACUGGGGAACUUGAGUGCAGAAGAGGAGAGUGGAAUUCCACGUGUAGCGGUGAAAUGCGUAGAGAUGUGGAGGAACACCAGUGGCGAAGGCGACUCUCUGGUCUGUAACUGACGCUGAGGCGCGAAAGCGUGGGGAGCGAACAGGAUUAGAUACCCUGGUAGUCCACGCCGUAAACGAUGAGUGCUAAGUGUUAGAGGGUUUCCGCCCUUUAGUGCUGCAGCAAACGCAUUAAGCACUCCGCCUGGGGAGUACGGUCGCAAGACUGAAACUCAAAGGAAUUGACGGGGGCCCGCACAAGCGGUGGAGCAUGUGGUUUAAUUCGAA